rnacentral:rRNA from 1 species
CCCUUAGAUGUUCGGGGCCGCACGCGCGCUACACUGAAGGAAUCAGCACGUCUUUCUCCUUGUCCGAAAGGACUGGGUAACCCGCUGAACCUCCUUCGUGCUAGGGAUUGGGGCUUGUAAUUCUUCCCCAUGAACGAGGAAUUCCCAGUAAGCGCGAGUCAUAAGCUCGCGUUGAUUACGUCCCUGCCCUUUGUACACACCGCCCGUCGCUACUACCGCUUGGAUGGUUUAGUGAGAUCCUCGGAUUGGUCCCGGAGCGGCCUCUGGUCGUGCCGGAGUGCCGAAAAGAAUGUCGAACUUGAUCAUCUAGAGGAAGUAAAAGUCGUAACA